rnacentral:rRNA from 1 species
GACGAACGCUGGCGGCGUGCCUAAUACAUGCAAGUAGGACGCAGUUGUGAACGGGUGAGUAACGCGUAGGUAACUACCUAUUAGAGGGGGAUAACUAUUGGAAACGAUAGCUAAUACCGCAUACUAGCAGAUGGACCUGCGUUGUAUUAGCUAGUAGGCAGGGUAAUGGCCUACCUAGGCAAAGAUACAUAGCCGACCUGGAAGGGUGAUCGGCCACACUUGGACUGGGACACGGCCCAAACUCCUUCGGGAGGCCACAGUAGGGAAUCUUCGGCAAUGGGGGAAACCCUGACCGAGCAACGCCGCGGUAGUGAAGAAGGUUUUCGGAUCGUAAAGCUCUGUUGUUAAGGAAGCGGUACUUAACCAGAAAGGGACGGCUAACUACGUGCCAGCCGCCGCGGUAAUUC